UACGAAGGGGGCUAGCGUUGCUCGGAAUCACUGGGCGUAAAGCGCACGUAGGCGGAUUGCUAAGUCAGGGGUGAAAUCCUGGAGCUCAACUCCAGAACUGCCUUUGAUACUGGCGAUCUCGAGUCCGGGAGAGGUGAGUGGAACUGCGAGUGUAGAGGUGAAAUUCGUAGAUAUUCGCAAGAACACCAGUGGCGAAGGCGGCUCAACUGGCCCGGUACUGACGCUGAGGUG
rnacentral:rRNA from 1 species